UACAGAGGGUGCAAGCGUUAAUCGGAUUUACUGGGCGUAAAGGGCGCGUAGGUGGUAGAGCAAGUAAGAUGUGAAAGCCCUGGGCUUAACCUGGGAAGUGCAUCUUAAACUGCUUAACUAGAGUAUGGUAGAGGGUAGUGGAAUUCCCGGUGUAGCGGUGAAAUGCGCAGAUAUCGGGAGGAACACCCGUAGCGAAGGCGGCACUCUGGGCCGGUACUGACGCUGAGGAGCGAAAGCGUGGGGAGCAAACAGG
rnacentral:rRNA from 1 species